AGUGGCAGACGGGUGAGUAAUGUAUAGGAAUCUACCUAGUAGUACGGAAUAAUUGUUGGAAACGGCAACUAAUACCGUAUACGCCCUACGGGGGAAAAAUUUAUUGCUAUUAGGUGAGCAUAUAUUAGAUUAGUUAGUUGGUGAGGUAAAGGCUUACCAAGACAAUGAUCUAUAGCUGAUCUGAGAGGAUGAUCAGCCACACUGGGACUGAGAUACGGUCCAGACUCCUACGGGAGGCAGCAGUGGGGAAUAUUGGACAAUGGGCGAAAGCCUGAUCCAGCCAUGCCGCAUGAGUGAAGAAGGCCUUCGGGUUGUAAAGCUCUUUUAGUGAGGAAGAUAAUGACGGUACUCACAGAAGAAGUCCUGGCUAACUCUGUGCCAGCAGCCGCGGUAAUACGGAGAGGGCUAGCGUUAUUCGGAAUCAUUGGGCGUAAAGGGCGCGUANGCGGGUUAAUAANUUAAAAGUGAAAUCCCAAGGCUCANCCUUGGAACUGCUUUUAAAACUGCUAGUCUAGAGAUUGAAAGAGGAUAGAGGAAUUCCUAGUGUAGAGGUGAA
rnacentral:rRNA from 1 species